CGCCUUGCCAGCCCGCUCAGAACUUAAGGAAUUGAGGGGCCCGCACAAGCGGUGGAGUAUGUGGUUAAUUCGAUGCAACGCGAAGAACCUUACCUGGUCUUGACAUCCCGGAGACCCUUAGGAAACUAGGGGGUGCUUCCAUCUGGAAGAAUCUGGAGACAGGUGCUGCAUGGCUGUCGUCAGCUCGUGUCGUGAGAUGUUGGGUUAAGUCCCGCAACGAGCGCAACCCUUGCCUUUAGUUGCCAGCAGUUCGGCUGGGCACUCUAAAGGGACUGCCGGUGUUAAACCGGAGGAAGGUGGGGAUGACGUCAAGUCCUCAUGGCCUUUAUGACCAGGGCUACACACGUACUACAAUGGCCGAUACAAAGGGCAGCGACACUGCGAGGUGAAGCCAAUCCCGUAAAAUCGGUCUCAGUCCGGAUUGGAGUCUGCAACUCGACUCCAUGAAGUUGGAAUCGCUAGUAAUCGUGGAUCAGCAUGCCACGGUGAAUACGUUCCCGGGCCUU
rnacentral:rRNA from 1 species